UCAAGUUCUAUAACGAAUUUACAGUUGAACUUUGUUGUAAAAGUUGAUAAGAAUAUAUUAGUACUUUAUGUAAAAUUUGACUAAGUUUGGAUAGUCAGAUCAGGAGUUAUGAGGUAUUGAAGUUUGGAAAAAUUCCACGUAAGGAUAUAUAAGGAUUUAGAGGAUUUUAUCAUAUUUUGGGUGUUGGUUACUUGAGGCUUAUGUAUUUGGUAUAAUUGAUCCAAAAGAGGAAUUUUAUAUAUAAACUUAGGGCUUCCCUUAUUUUGAAGCUUGAUUGAGCAAUUAGUGAUAGCUAAGAACCUAAUGCUUUCUUGAAGAAAAUUCUCUCUAUUCUAAUAACAUGAAAUAGAAGGUGGAUCUUCAUAAACUCCGAUAGAUGUAAUCGAUAAGCAAUAGGGUUGAUUUAUUCACAAAUAAAAAAAGGUCCUAACCUAUAAUAGUCCAACUUAUCACAAGGAUGAAUAGUCUUGAUAUUUUGACAAAGCAAUCAUACCUUAUCACUUAUAUUGAAUUGUGGUUGCUACUUA
rnacentral:lncRNA from 1 species